UACGGAGGGGGCAAGCGUUGUUCGGAAUUACUGGGCGUAAAGGGCGCGCAGGGCGGCUGCUCAAAGUUCAGGCGUGAAAAGGCCUGGGCUCAAACCCGGGAAUUGCGCUUGAGACUUGGGCUGGCUUGAGUGCGGGAGAGGAUGGUGGAAUUCCCAGUGUAGAGGUGAAAAUUCGUAGAUAUUGGGAAGAACACCAGUGGCGAAGGCGGCUCACUGGCCCGGUACUGGACGCUGAGGAGCGAAAGCGUGGGGAGCGAAACAGG
rnacentral:rRNA from 1 species